rfam:Salmo salar isolate Sally breed double haploid chromosome ssa12, whole genome shotgun sequence.
UGGCUCAGUUGGUAGAGCAUGGUGUUUGCAAUGCCAGGGUUGUGGGUUCGAGUCCCAC